AGCAGCCGCGGUAAUUCCAGCUCCAAUAGCGUAUAUUAAAGUUGUUGCAGUUAAAAAGCUCGUAGUUGAAUUUCGGGGUCAGUGGGUCGGUCGUGCCACUGGUAUGCUACUGGCCCUACUGAUUCCUCCUUCUUGAAGAACUGUAAUGCCAUUAAUUUGGUGUUGCAGGGAAACAGGACUGUUACUUUGAAAAAAUUAGAGUGUUUAAAGCAGGCAAUCGCUUGAAUAUAUUAGCAUGGAAUAAUGAAAUAGGACGUUCGAUCCUAUUUUGUUGGUUUCUAGGGUUGACGUAAUGAUUAAUAGGGAUAGUUGGGGGCAUUAGUAUUCAAUUGUCAGAGGUGAAAUUCUUGGAUUUAUUGAAGACUAACUACUGCGAAAGCAUUUGCCAAGGAUGUUUUCAUUAAUCAAGAACGAAAGUUAGGGGAUCGAAGACGAUCAGAUACCGUCGUAGUCUUAACCAUAAACUAUGCCGACUAGGGAUCGGAUGAUGUUAAUUUUUUAAUGACUCA
rnacentral:rRNA from 1 species